UAACUAGGCAACGACCCAGGGUCGUUUUUGUGUUGAAAUGAUCAAAAGAAAUUCACAAGACCUCGCUUUUUCUGGGAGGUAGCUAGCAAAGGGAGAAUGUGUUACUACGUUACCCCAAGAAAGGAACAAAACUGCACUAAAACACAACACAGAAAAAGCAAAUUUUAAUCAGUUGAACCAAAAGAUAAUCGAUGAAAGACUAAACAAAGUUUAAACGGUAAGCAUAAAACAGACCACACACCUAGGAUGCCGCAAGAGAGAAAAAGGAGAGGAGGAAGACGAUAAAGAUAUCAGAAACAAAAAUGGAAUGCCGUAAGAGAGAAAAAGAAGAGGUGCCGCAAGCGAGAAAAAGAAGAGGUGUCGCAAGAGAAAAAGGAGAAGAGGAAGACGAUAUCAAAAACUGAAUGCCACGAAGAGUUUGCGAU
rnacentral:lncRNA from 1 species